AGAGGACUCGCGGUGGCACGUGAGGGUUCGAAAAAUGACAUUCAAACAGUGACCGGUUUUGUCGGGGGUCUAACUAAGACGCUGCGAGAUUUAGGUAUCUACGCUGACAUGUCUGAUAAAAUUCAGCAGGCUCGCCCUUGACAAAUUGAGAAAUUAACCAUUAUUGCAAAAUUACUGCAAAAAUCAAACAUAUGAAGAAAAGACAUCAACUCAGCAAUGCUACCAACAGAAAUCAAAUACCUGUACAACCGUCUCUUCGCAAAACUAUCAGAUGAAGGAUUCCAAGAUGUAUGGAGUAUUGGCGGAUUUAUUGUUGUCUUUAUAUUCUGUACCCUGGUUAUCACAGUGACGUUGGGAAUAAUCAUCAGCUGGUGCUUCUGUGAGGGCUACAGGAUUCUGUCUAAGAGUAACAGAGUUCAGGUGCAGAGCCGUUUGCCUUUUGAAAAGCAAGAGGCCAUCAUUGAGGAACGCAGAUAUGUGGCGCAGGGACUCAAAAAGAGUGCAUACAAGAAGACUAAAAGCACUAAGCUGGGAAAGGAGGCAGUUAAAAGCACUAAAGGGAAGACCCCACUUACCUACCCUAUCAAAUCAAAGAAGGCAAAACAUUAGAUGGUAACCUGAGUUACUGAGAACCUGGUUGUACAAAUGAAAAAAAUAAAGUAUUUAGAUAGUUACCAUAUUAAAACUGUUUUAAUAUUAUUUUGUGAGUGUUGGAUUGCCCAUUACUGUAUUUACCAUAUUUCUUUAGUAGUUUUUUGGGAGUAGAAUCUAAUUACCAAGUUCUAAAACAUACUAAACUUUUUUGCAUUUUUUAUUCUCAUUUAUGUAAUUGUAUAUUUAUGAUUUUCAAGAGUUUAAAUGAUUUUCAGCAUUCUCAUUGAAUUCAAGUGAAAGGAAAUAAUUCAGUAAGUGGCACUUGCCAAUCCAUAAACAGUGUAACACAGCCUUUUUGAUUCCAUUACAGAGGGUGGCAAGAUUUCAAUUAUAGGACAAUAGGAUUUUUGGUUCCACCAUAUACUGCGGUAAAGCUAAAAAUGUUUCAGCCUUUACUAGAUUGUUUCACUUAGUUCAAUUACUUUGUUAAAUUUUUGUUCCAAUUCCAUGCUUUGAUAUAUAAAGAAUGUGACUGCAUAAUAAAAUUAAACCUUGUUUAUAGAAUCA